AACUGCUGCAAUCGGUAGCUAAUACCGCAUAAGGUCGCAGGACCAAAGUGGGGGACCUUCGGGCCUCAUGCCAUCAGAUGUGCCCAGAUGGGAUUAGCUAGUAGGUGGGGUAACGGCUCACCUAGGCGACGAUCCCUAGCUGGUCUGAGAGGAUGACCAGCCACACUGGAACUGAGACACGGUCCAGACUCCUACGGGAG
rnacentral:rRNA from 1 species